rnacentral:rRNA from 1 species
GCUCCUUUGACGUUAGCGGCGGACGGGUGAGUAACACGUGGGCAACCUACCUUAUAGUUUGGGAUAACUCCGGGAAACCGGGGCUAAUACCGAAUAAUCUAUUUCACUUCAUGGUGAAAUACUGAAAGACGGUUUCGGCUGUCGCUAUAAGAUGGGCCCGCGGCGCAUUAGCUAGUUGGUGAGGUAACGGCUCACCAAGGCGACGAUGCGUAGCCGACCUGAGAGGGUGAUCGGCCACACUGGGACUGAGACACGGCCCAGACUCCUACGGGAGGCAGCAGUAGGGAAUCUUCCACAAUGGGCGAAAGCCUGAUGGAGCAACGCCGCGUGAGUGAAGAAGGUUUUCGGAUCGUAAAACUCUGUUGUAAGGGAAGAACAAGUACAGUAGUAACUGGCUGUACCUUGACGGUACCUUAUUAGAAAGCCACGGCUAACUACGUGCCAGCAGCCGCGGUAAUACGUAGGUGGCAAGCGUUGUCCGGAAUUAUUGGGCGUAAAGCGCGCGCAGGCGGUCCUUUAAGUCUGAUGUGAAAGCCCACGGCUCAACCGUGGAGGGUCAUUGGAAACUGGGGGACUUGAGUGCAGAAGAGGAAAGUGGAAUUCCAAGUGUAGCGGUGAAAUGCGUAGAGAUUUGGAGGAACACCAGUGGCGAAGGCGACUUUCUGGUCUGUAACUGACGCUGA